AGAGUUUCGAUCCUCGGCGUCGAGGACGAACGCUGGCGGCGUGCUUAACACAUGCAAGUCGACGAUGAAGGAGGAGCUUGCUCCUCUGGAUUAGUGGCGAACGGGUGAGUAACACGUGAGCAAUCUGCCCUUGACUCUGGGAUAAGCGCUGGAAACGGCGUCUAAUACCGGAUACGACCCUCGGAGGCAUCUCCUGUGGGUGGAAAGAACUUCGGUCAAGGAUGAGCUCGCGGCCUAUCAGCUUGUUGGUGAGGGUAAUGGCUCACCAAGGCGACGACGGGUAGCCGGCCUGAGAGGGUGACCGGCCACACUGGGACUGAGACACGGCCCAGACUCCUACGGGAGGCAGCAGUGGGGAAUAUUGCACAAUGGGCGCAAGCCUGAUGCAGCAACGCCGCGUGAGGGACGACGGCCUUCGGGUUGUAAACCUCUUUUAGCAGGGAAGAAGCGAGAGUGACGGUACCUGCAGAAAAAGCACCGGCUAACUACGUG
rnacentral:rRNA from 1 species